rnacentral:rRNA from 1 species
CCUACGGGUGGCAGCAGUGAGGAAUAUUGGUCAAUGGCCGGAAGGCUGAACCAGCCAUGCCGCGUGAAGGUCAGUGCCCUAUGGGCGUUAAACUUCUUUUGUGCGGGAGCAAUAAUGGUCACGUGUGGCCAGACGAGAGUACCGUACGAAUAAGCAUCGGCUAACUCCGUGCCAGCAGCAGCGGUAAUACGGGGGAUGCAAGCGUUAUCCGGAUUUAUUGGGUUGAAAGGGUGCGUAGGCUGGGAGGUAAGUCAGCGGUGAAAUGCCCCGGCUCAACGGGGUGAAGCGCCAUUGAUACUGCCUUGCUGGAAUGCGGAUGCCGUGGGAGGAAUGUGUGGUGUAGCGGUGAAAUGCAUAGAUAUCACACAGAACACCGAAUGCGAAGGCAGCUCACGAAUCCGCGAUUGACGCUGAUGCACGAAAGCGUGGGUAUCAAACAGGAUUAGAUACCCGGGUAGUC